GAGUCUAGCAUGUGCGCGAGUCAUUGGGACUCCGUUAAACCUAAAGGCGCAAUGAAAGUAAAGGUCCGCCUCGCGCGGACCGAGGGAGGAUAGGUCCGUCCACGGACGGGCCUCGCACUCCCGGGGCGUCUCGUUCUCAUCGCGAGAAGAGGCGCGCCCAGAGCGUACACGCUGGGACCCGAAAGAUGGUGAACUAUGCCUGGUCAGGACGAAGUCAGGGGAAACCCUGAUGGAGGUCCGUAGCGAUUCUGACGUGCAAAUCGAUCGUCGGAACUGGGUAUAGGGGCGAAAGACUAAUCGAACCUUCUAGUAGCUGGUUCCCUCCGAAGUUUCCCUCAGGAUAGCUGGCGCUCGCCUUUGCGAGUCUCAUUCGGUAAAGCGAAUGAUUAGAGGCAUUGGGGUCGAAACGGCCUCAACCUAUUCUCAAACUUUAAAUGGGUGAGAUCUCCGGCUUGCUUAAAUCGUGAAGCCGCGAGAGAUCGGAUCACAGAGUGCCAAGUGGGCCACUUUUGGUAAGCAGAACUGGCGCUGUGGGAUGAACCAAACGCCGAGUUAAAGCGCCCAAAUCGACGCUUAUGGGAUACCAUGAAAGGCGUUGGUAACUUAAGACAGCAGGACGGUGGCCAUGGAAGUCGGA
rnacentral:rRNA from 1 species